rnacentral:Y_RNA from 1 species
GGCUGGGCGAAGGUAGUGAGUUAUCUCACUGAUUGUUCACAGUCAGUUACAGGUUGAACUCCUUGUUCUACUACUGUCCCCCUUCUCACCACUGCACUUGACUAGUCGAAA